rnacentral:rRNA from 1 species
UACGUAGGGACCAAGCGUUGUUCGGAUUUACUGGGCGUAAAGGGCGCGUAGGCGGCGUGUUAAGUCAGCUGUGAAAUCUCCAAGCUUAACUUGGAACGGUCAGCUGAUACUGAUGUGCUAGAGUGCAGAAGGGGCAACCGGAAUUCUUGGUGUAGCGGUGAAAUGCGUAGAUAUCAAGAGGAACACCUGAGGUGAAGACGGGUUGCUGGGCUGACACUGACGCUGAGGCGCGAAAGCGUGGGGAGCGAACAGG